rnacentral:tRNA from 1 species
UCCUUCAUGGCUAAGAGGUUAAAGCAUCUGCCUGCAAUGUGGGAGACCCAGGUUUGAUCCCUGGGUUGGGAA